GUCCACGCCGUAACGAUGGAUGCUAGCCGUUGGCCAGCUUGCUGGUCAGUGGCGCCGCUAACGCUUAAGCAUCCCGCCUGGGAGUACGGUCGCAAGAUUAAACUCAAGGAAUUGACGGGGCCCGCACAAGCGGUGGAGCAUGUGGUUUAAUUCGAAGCAACGCGCAGAACCUUACCAGCCUUUGACAUGCCCGGCUACACGGAGAGAUCCGUGGUCCCUUCGGGGACCGGGACACAGGUGCUGCAUGGCUGUCGU
rnacentral:rRNA from 1 species